GACAGAGGGGGCAAGCGUUGCUCGGAAUCACUGGGCGUAAAGGGCGCGUAGGCGGGAUGGCAAGUCAGUCGUGAAAUCUCUCGGCUCAACCGAGAAACGUCGGCUGAUACUGCCGUUCUUGAGGGAUGCAGAGGAGACUGGAAUUCCCAGUGUAGAGGUGAAAUUCGUAGAUAUUGGGAAGAACACCGGUGGCGAAGGCGGCGCUCUGGACCGAGACUGACGCUGAGGCGCGAAAGCGUGGGGAGCAAACAGG
rnacentral:rRNA from 1 species